CUUUAAUAUUUAUGAACUGUUCUAACGCAUUGUAACAUAUCCUGGGUUUUGUCCAGCCAAAGCAACAGAAAGUAAUAUCUGAAGUAAGAAUUGUUUUAUCACCAGCAAUUUUGCCAAGAAGGCUUUUAAAUUCUUUGAUCGAAAAAGUUUUACAAUAAAUCUGACAGAAAAAGAAAGUUAUUCUGACAUGACUUUCAAUAAAAGAAUCUGAAAGAAUCUGUAUGAGUCAAAAUUUUACUUAAUAUUUUAUUUUGAGACAUUUUAUUUUUACACCGCUAUAGUAAAUUUGGUCAAAAAGUGAUGAUUUGUAAGUGAAUAUUAAUGAGUUAACAGAAGAAAUACAUAACAAACAUGGCCAGGGCCAGAUACAGACGGAAACGCAAAAUGUGCAGAACGAGAUGCCGCACAAGACACGGCGCGUUCAAGCGGUGUCGGUCGGGCGACCGCAGGUACCGCGUGCGACAGGGCUGCUGCCGUCGUCGGCGGAGGCGCAGCUGUCGUCGGCGCAGGCGCCGCUCCAGUUAUAUGUGGCGAUGUCGGUCACGGUCUGGUUCGUUCAAGCGGUGCCGCCGCUGCGACCGUCGCUAUAAGAUCCGACGCCGCUCCUGAGCUCAUCUGAUGUAACAUUUUGGAAAUUUUUAGUGAUAUGCAGAAAAAUAAAUGUUUUACGGUA